CAAUAGCGUAUAUUAAAGUUGUUGCAGUUAAAAAGCUCGUAGUUGAAUUUCUGGUGGGCGCGCCGGUCUUCCAAGUGUUGUACUGGGCGCAGUCCGCCAUCCUUGUGGAGAGGGCUCGCAUUGAGUUGCGUGUCGGAUCUGCAUCAUUUACUGUGAAAAAAUUAGAGUGUUUAAAGCAGGCUGUCGCUUGAAUACAUUAGCAUGGAAUAACACGAUAGGACUCUGGCUUAUCUUGUUGGUCUGUGAGACCAGAGUAAUGAUUAAGAGGGACAGUCGGGGACAUUCGUAUUUCAUUGUCAGAGGUGAAAUUCUUGGAUUUAUGAAAGACGAACUUCUGCGAAAGCAUUUGUCAAGGAUGUUUUCAUUAA
rnacentral:rRNA from 1 species